rnacentral:rRNA from 1 species
GAUGAACGCUGGCGGCGUGCCUAAUACAUGCAAGUCGAGCGAACAGACGAGGAGCUUGCUCCUCUGACGUUAGCGGCGGACGGGUGAGUAACACGUGGAUAACCUACCUAUAAGACUGGGAUAACUUCGGGAAACCGGAGCUAAUACCGGAUAAUAUAUUGAACCGCAGGGUUCAAUAGUGAAAGACGGUUUUGCUGUCACUUAUAGAUGGAUCCGCGCCGCAUUAGCUAGUUGGUAAGGUAACGGCUUACCAAGGCAACGAUGCGUAGCCGACCUGAGAGGGUGAUCGGCCACACUGGAACGGAGACACGGUCCAGACUCCUACGGGAGGCAGCAGUAGGGAAUCUUGCGCAAUGGGCGCAAGCCUGACGCAGCCACGCCGCGUGAGUGAUGAAGGUCUUCGGAUCGUAAAACUCUGUUAUUAGGGAAGAACAAAUGUGUAAGUAACUAUGCACGUCUUGACGGUACCUAAUCAGAAAGCCACGGCUAACUACGUG